rnacentral:rRNA from 1 species
UACGUAGGGUGCAAGCGUUAAUCGGAAUUACUGGGCGUAAAGCGUGCGCAGGCGGUUAUGUAAGACAGAUGUGAAAUGCCCGGGCUUAACCUGGGAACUGCAUUUGUGACUGCAUGGCUAGAGUUUGGCAGAGGGGGGUAGAAUUCCACGUGUAGCAGUGAAAUGCGUAGAUAUGUGGAGGAACACCCGGUGGCGAAGGCAGCCCCCUGGGUCAAGACUGACGCUCAUGCACGAAAGCGUGGGAGCAAACAGG